CGAUUGCCGUGAUGCAGGUGAUUCGUUGCUUGCAAACUCCAGCGUGAAUUUCAUUGAACGUUAUCAUUUAGAGGAGGGAGAAGGUCGUAACAAGGGUUUCCCGUAGGGUGAACCCUGCGGAAAGGAUCAUUGCAGCAUCGAUAUGAGAAGAACCGGAGAACAUGUGAUGCACUUCGGAGAAACCAGGAUUGAAUCUUGUUGCCUCGACUCCGUUGCUUGCGCAGGGUGUUGCUGGCAUUGAGACCGACUGGGCAAUGUAAUGGCACAUAGAAGUGCCAAGAGAUAUUUUUUUUACCGUUUAAGUGGCCGAUUGUGCUUGUCGUGCAUUUCGGUCGCUGUGAUGCACUAGAUGCUGUUGUGCAUGACUCUCGACAAUGGAUAUCUAGGCUCUCGCAUCGAUGAAGAACGCAGCAAAAUGCGAUACGUGGUGUGAAUUGCAGAAUCCCGUGAACCAUCAAGUAUUUGAACGCAAGUUGCGCCCGGGGAAAAUCAUCCCAGGGCACGUCCGCAUGGGCACUAUAUUUUCCAUCGCUUCAUGCCAACGAAUACGAUUGAGGGAUAUUCGUCUCGGCAUAGAGGCUGAUUUGCCCCCUCGUGCCGUUGUUGGCGCGGUGGGUUAAAAGUUUGAGUUAAGCAUCCCCUCGGCUGAGACGAUUGAGGUGGUUUGUCAGUUGAAUCAUCAUCGGAAGGGCCAGGGGUCGCGUUCCACUCCAGCACAUCUGAGUCGAUCUGUGUCGAGCCAAUUGAUUGGCACAUUCGGUUGUGAUCCCAUGACGGGCGGGGAGACCCGCUGAGUUUAAGCAUAUUAAUAAGCGGAGGAAGAGAAACUUACGAGGAUCCCUUAGUACGGCGACGAC
rnacentral:rRNA from 1 species